GCUAGGAAGAGGAAGAAAGAGAGGGUGCAAGAGCAGUGGGAAUGAGGACAUAGAGGAAAUCUUGACCGGUACUUCACCUCUUAUCUUGAGGUGGUGACUCGGUUUGAUAUUUCCCGGUGCCUCUCAUUCCUAUCGUUCUUAAGCGCUCCUUCCUCUUCCAUUUUGUU
rnacentral:pre_miRNA from 1 species